UUCCGGUUGAUCCUGCCGGAGGCUACCGCUAUUGGAGUCCGAUUAAGACAUGCGAGUCGAGAGCUUACGGAGCUCGGCAUACUGCUCAGUAACACGUGGGUAACCUGCCCUGUGCUGGGGGAUAACCUCGGGAAACUGAGAACAAUACCCCAUAGUCCACUACGCCUGGAACGGUGAGUGGAUGAAAGCCCCGGCGGCACAGGAUGGGCCUGCGGCGUAUCAGGUAGUAGGGGGUGUAAAGUACCCUCUAGCCUUCGACGCGUACGGGUUGUGAGAGCAAUAGCCCGGAGAUGGAUUCUGAGACAAGAAUCCAGGUCCUACGGGACGCAGCAGUCGCGAAACCUUGACAAUGCGGGAAACCGUGAUCAGGGGACUCCAAGUGCCAGGAGUAAGAUCCUGUGCUUUUCUUUUCUCUUCAAAGGAUUUGGAAUAAGAGGUGGGUAAGGACGGUGCCAGCCGCCGCGGUAAUACCGGCGCCUCGAGUGGUAGUCGAUUUUAUUGGGCCUAAAACGUCCGUCGCCGGUCUGGUGCAUUCGUGGGUAAAUCAACCCGCUCAACGGGUUGAAUUCUGCGAGCACGGCCAGACUAGGGACCGGGAGAGGUGUGGGGUACGCUCGGGGUAGGGGUAAAAUCCUGUCAUCCCGAGCGGACCACCUGUUGCGAAGGCUCCACACUAGAACGGAUCCGACGGUCAGGGACGAAGCCUAGGGGCACGAACCGGAUUAGAUACCCGGGUAGUCCUAGGUGUAAACGCUGUGGACUUGGUGUUGGGAGCUCCCAGAGGGCUCUCAGUGCCGUAGCGAAGGUGAUAAGUCCACUGCCUGGGGAGUACGGUCGCAAGGCUGAAACUUAAAGGAAUUGGCGGGGGAACACCGCAACCUGAGGAUUGUGCGGUUUAAUUGGAGUCAACGCCGGA
rnacentral:rRNA from 1 species